CGUCCGUGUCCGUCGAAAACGGCGUGUUCACUAUUCCUCCUUGGGGCCCCCAUUUCACGCGCAAGAUUAAAUUCUUAGGUUAUUAAUAAUUGGGUUUAAAGCAAAGAAAAAUAGUGUUAAAAAAAUUGAUCAUGUUUUAUGGGGAGACGUGUACUGCUGCAUGGGAAAUGACUCAACCUCGACGCCAACGGUUAAAUGAGCGCAUGUUAGCUGAGCAUAUGCGGCGCUAUCGUACGCCUUAGGAGAAUAUGGGCAAAUGGGUAAAAGGGGGCAUUGAGGGAUUUUCAAAGGCUGGGGAACAUGAGAUGAGAUCCCAAUGUGCAUCGAGGAUGAUGCUCCCUAUCCCUAUGGUAAGAUCUACACCCGUCCAUCCAAUCCACUACUCAAAAUCAUGAACAUCAAAAUGAGCCGUUGAUAUUUUAUCUCGGGGUUGUGACCGGGUCAACAAUGACAACAAUUCAAUUAAAUCCAACGGCUAUGAUUGUUGAUUGGAGAGCGUGGGCCAUAGAACAGUCUGUUUCAUAAGCAACAGACAAAACUCAUAUCUUGUACAGUAUUGUAAUUUAGACAAAACUGUUGUGUGAACUGGAAGGGCGGGCAAUAUACGUAUACCUGAGCAGGCCCAGUUCGAGAAGACUAUGGCAGCAAAUCAUUUAUCAUGUACAGAUAAGGUUGGUCAUAUGUUGGAGAAAUUAGCUUCGUUGACCUUUUGUGCUCAUAUAUAUCUAAUUUGAUGGACAAUAUACUCAAAACAACUUAUUAUUACCCUCCUCUUAAUUUUUAAGUUUUACCUAAUCUCUCUAACUUAU
rnacentral:lncRNA from 1 species